rnacentral:rRNA from 1 species
CAGCAGCCGCGGUAAUACCGGCGGCCCGAGUGGCGGUCACUAUUAUUGGGCUUAAAGCGUCCGUAGCCGGGUUGGGAAGUCCUCCGGGAAAUCUGGCCGCUUAACGGUCAGAAUGCCGGAGGAUACUCCCAGCCUAGGGAGCGGGAGAGGCCGAGGGUAUUCCCGGAGUAGGGGUGAAAUCCUAUAAUCCCGGGAGGACCACCUGUGGCGAACGCGCUCGGCUGGAACGCGUCCGACGGCGAGGGACGAAGGCCAGGGGAGCAAACCGGAUUAGAUACCCGGGUAGUCCUGGCGGUAAACGAUGCGGACUUUGUGUCGGACAAGCUAUGAGCUUGUCCGGUGCCGGAGGGAAACCGUUAAGUCCGCCGCCUGGGGAGUACGGCCGCAAGGCUGAAACUUAAAGGAAUUGGCGGG